rnacentral:lncRNA from 1 species
GUACUUAGCAGAAACAACAUAAAUGAAAAGCAUAAAAGCCCUGAGAUUUUCUUUCCAAGUGGGCUGUUAUAUUCUAGAUAUUUUCAAUCUUGUUGACUACGAAAAAGAGAAGUGAGUUUAAUGUAGUGUUUGAGGGGGAAAGUUAGGUGAUAAAUCUGAAUGGAGGAACUAUCUGUUUUGAGGCCACAUUCUCAGUCAGGGUGGAUCAGCUCAUGGGAAACAUCAAUUAUGUUGGGCUAUUGCUCUUAGAGGACUGACCCUGAGAGCGUGUCCAUGCCAUGUUAGGAGCUGGAAGGCUGGGAGGUUGUCAAAGGAAUGCAUACUCUAUACCAGUACCCCUUUUGCCCCAUGACUUGGUGUUUGUU